CUAUAGGCUUUUCUGAAAGCUCCAAAGUGUUUCCAUAAAGGUAUAU
rfam:Homo sapiens chromosome 5, GRCh38 reference primary assembly.